rnacentral:lncRNA from 1 species
UAAAAUCGUGACCUUUAUUGAUCAAUUGAAAGUAUCCGGGGGAAUUAGGCCAGCCUUUUUACAAUUCAAGAAGGACUUUUUACAAUUAGGUUUAGCAUGUACUUAUAGAAUUCGGUCCAAACAUGGGUGGAUGCCCAAAACUAUCUCAACUGAUGAUAAUUGCAAUUUAAUUAAAUUAAAAUAAAUUACAAAAAUAGGUGCAAAAUGUCUAUUUUGCCCCUAUCAAACAAUUCACGAAAUUUCAAAACAAUCCCUGCCACUGUUCUAAAAUGUGCAUGAUCUUCCGUGGAUGAUCCCAGGUUGCUCUGGUGCCAGUUUAUCUAAAAGAUAAUUGUUUUCUUGUAGGGCUCGACAUAGCGAUCGAUUUGAUAUCAACUUCGAGCCAUGGAUCGUGUUUUAAGCCACGAUCAUGCGACUUGAAAUUCCAAUCCAAAUUGAGAGCUGAAACAUCAAAACAUACACAAAUAACUCAAAAAACAAAGAAAUUCACAAACUAAAAAGGAAGAAACGUAAACAGGAGCAAAUAAAAAGAAACUAAACUAAAUAAAACUUCACAUAAAAGACCCAUGCAUUUAAUUAGAAAUAAAUAAAAAAACAUAUCUUUUACCAUCACAAUCAAAGAUGAAGGUCUCCAUAAAGUAGAUUAGUUCAUUGGCAUCCUUAAGGUGCUGCGUAGAAGCUGUCAUCAUGCUAAAUUUAGAGGAAUUGGCCAUUUUAGAGGAAUUGGUCAUUUUAGAGGAUAACUUAGGUGUGGCUCCAAUAAGUGAUAAGAUGAUAAAAAGUAGAUUUAGGUGGACUGGUCAUGUGUACAACACCUAUUGGAAAAUACGAAUUACUUCAAGUGGAAAGCUUGAACAAGACGUAAACCCAAAAAGACAUGGUUGGAAAUAGUGAGAAAAGAUAUGAAGGCUAAUAGCCUCCUUGAGGCUAUAGCCGUUGAUAGAGUAGAAUGACGAAUCCGAAUUUGUGUAGCGGAUCCCAAAUAGUUGGAAAAAAGCUGUGAUGAUAAUAGAGCAGAAUGACGGACUAGGAUUCGUGUAGAUAACCCCAAUUAAUUGGGAAAAGACUAUAAUGAUGAUGAAUUAAACAAGGUUCCUUCCAUUAAUCCAAUAUAAUACCAAACAUUUAAAUAGAUUAAAUGAAUACUUUAUUGUGCUUGGAUAUUUCAUAAAAGUGUGAACCCCCUUUGAUGCUUCCAAUAUUUGUAUAAAUAAUAAACAGAAUUGAUUUUCUUUAUACCAAAAUUUCACUCAAUGCACAAGCAGCCUGCACAGCCUUCAAGCGCAAACAUAUGCCAGUUAUUUAAGAAAUAGAUAUUUAAAAAUUUCAGCUAACCAUUCCAUUUUGCCACCACACCAAUACAUUAUAGAAGAUAAGUUUGUCUCAUUUGAAAUAGCAACACGAAAUCAAUCACUUGAACAUAAAGACAGAGUGAGAGAAAGAGAGAGAGAUAGAUGACAAUCUUAUGGCACGCGCAUGUAUGAAUACACUAACAAUAGAGCAGGACCCUAUACAGAAGUAUAGAAUUCCUAUAAAGCAAUACAUAAUGAAUUGCAAUUCACUGCCAAAAGGACGCAUGUGCUUCCAGCACGAGGAAGAUCAAUAGCAUGGCAAAUGUGUGUAAUAUACAGAUUUCUGACCACAAAGCAAUUGACAUGAAGAAAUAAUCAAGGCAUUUGGUUAUUUCAUGGAACUAAAAUUUGAGAAAGCCCAUCGACAGAACCCACAAUGUGAUGGAAAGGGCUAAGAAGCCCUCACCCUAACUUUUCAUUGAAAGCAAAUCCAAAAUGCCGAACCCUAAACCCCCCAAAUCAACUGAAGAUAGUGAAAAUUGAAACCAUAGGAAAUAAAGUGAGACAAAUCGUCAAUAUUUAUGCCUAUCUACAGUUCAGAAUGAUUAAAGCCAUCCUCUUCCACACAUGGAAAUAAAAUAACAAAAAAUAAAAAACCUAGAUACAGAACCCAUAAAUCUCCAAAAAAGACAAGGAUGCAGAAUUAAUCAUCCAUGAGAAAAAAGGAAAAUAGCCCACCAAUAAACCAUUUCUACAGAUUAACAAUAAAUGAUUAAUGACAAGAAAAUUUACCUUGAGAAAAAAGCGAGAUUCAACUCACUCGGCUGAUCCUCGAUGUUGCCUUCUUUGAGCAAUAAAAGCCUCACCUCUGUCUGCUAAUCCCAGAAUCCCUCUCUCUCUUUCUGUCUGUCUGCCGGAAAACCAAAUGGAAAGCUCUCUCUCUCUGCUACGUCAGCAGCAAGUGGAGGUAAAAAUACAUACGACCGCAGCGCCGCUCUCCACAGGGUGGAGACGUGGCAAUGGACCGGACCCGAGGCGUAGACCCAUAUCGGGUUCCGGUACAAGUCUAAAAAUUAGACCUAGCAGGUCAGGUCCGCUAGUCAGGUUCUAAUAAUAUUUUUG